AAGGAAUCCUUUGCUGACUAUUGUGGAAGA
rnacentral:piRNA from 1 species